rfam:Picea glauca, whole genome shotgun sequence.
CUGUGAGGAGUAUGAUGUACUACAACAAGGAUUUAGAAAUGUUGGCUUUUCUUGAUAUUGGGGAUGGCUCCAAGGAACUUGUAG